CCCUUAGAUGUCCUGGGCCGCACGCGCGCUACACUGACAUGUUCAACAAGUUUCUCCUAGUUCGACAGGACUGGGAAAUCUUUGAACGCAUGCCGUGAUAGGGAUAGAUCAUUGCAAUUAUUGAUCUUGAACGAGGAAUUCCUAGUAAACGCGAGUCAUCAGCUCGCAUUGAUUACGUCCCUGCCCUUUGUACACACCGCCCGUCGCACCUACCGAUUGAAUGUUUCGGUGAAGAUUCCGGAUAGGACUGAUUUGAUUUAUUUCAUUUCUGACCUAAAAGCUAUCUAAACCUCAACAUUUAGAGGAAGGUGAAGUCGUAACA
rnacentral:rRNA from 1 species